rnacentral:rRNA from 1 species
CCUACGGGGGCUGCAGUGGGGAAUAUUGGACAAUGGGCGCAAGCCUGAUCCAGCCAUACCGCGUGGGUGAAGAAGGCCUUCGGGUUGUAAAGCCCUUUUGUUGGGAAAGAAAAGCAGCCGGUUAAUACCCGGUUGUUCUGACGGUACCCAAAGAAUAAGCACCGGCUAACUUCGUGCCAGCAGCCGCGGUAAUACGAAGGGUGCAAGCGUUACUCGGAAUUACUGGGCGUAAAGCGUGCGUAGGUGGUUGUUUAAGUCUGUCGUGAAAGCCCUGG